rnacentral:rRNA from 1 species
CGUGUAGGCGGGAAAGAAAGUCAGGAGUGAAAUCCCACGGCUUAACUGUGGAGCUGCUUCUGAAACUUCUUUUCUUGAGUGUCGGAGAGGAAAGUGGAAUUCCAAGUGUAGCGGUGAAAUGCGUAGAGAUUUGGAGGAACAUCAGUGGCGAAGGCGGCUUUCUGGACGAUAACUGACGCUGAGGCGCGAAAGCGUGGGGAGCAAACAGGAUUAGAUACCCUGGUAGUCCACGCUGUAAACGAUGGAUACUAGGUGUAGGAGGUAUCGACCCCUUCUGUGCCGCAGUUAACACAAUAAGUAUCCCACCUGGGGAGUACGGCCGCAAGGUUGAA